AAGAGGAGUCCAAGGUGGUCACACCCAUUCUCUUGCUCAUCUCUCCCAUGUUUCCUAGGUCCAUCUCUUUUAAAUACCUCAAGAACCACUAGUCCCUCCUACCAAGGAAUUUGCAAGCCCUUUGGUGUCCAACACAUUGGUCCCAUAGAGUCUCUGUCGCUUCUUCUUCAACUUUGAAGUUUCUUCCUUUAGAGGCUAAACCCUUUCUUAAGUAUGGACGCUCUUACUAUUACAAUCCUUCUAAUUUUUUUCAUUCUUAACAUGUCCAGUUUUCUCUUUAAUUGUUUCCAUAUCUGUCUUUCCCAACUUUUUUCUUAGAUUAAUAAAGCCACUUGAUUUAGUGUUCAAUAGUAUUAGAGAUAUAGAUUGGUUAGAAUCAUUUUUCAAACAAAAAUAGUCAACCAAUGUCAAUACAUCUUCUCGUUCUGAAACUCUAAUUGGGAAUCAAAUGUCAACACAAUUGAGGAUCAAAACUUUCUUGAUACAACUAAACCUGUCCAUGGGUCAGGUGACUUGGCCCGGCCUGAAGGCCUGCCCAAAAAGUGGGAGGGUUUAGGCGAAAAUAUAUGCUCAAAGAAUGGGCUUGGG
rnacentral:lncRNA from 1 species